CGCCGACACGGCUAACCCGUAAACGGGAGCGACGGCGCCCAAGGUAUGACCCAUGAUUGGGGUG
rnacentral:rRNA from 1 species